AGUAGCGUCAUAAAACGAAUAAAUUAAGUUGUGCCAUAUGGACCAGAUUUUAAAAUUAAAAAAGUCAAAUGCAGAAAUCAUCUACUGUAAAAUUAUGUGAUGAAAUUGAGUGCCCUUACAAAAAAAACAGAAUAUCCUAUUAUUUUCCGUAAAUUUAUAAUCAACAAUAUUCUGCGAUUUCGGUCUGAUAUUAUGAAAUCAAUUAAAUAUCAUUUGAGCACAAAUUUAACACUUCAGCAAAAAACCAGCUAAGAAAAGACAUAAAAAACUCACCAUACCACCGUCUCGGUCAACAAUUGUGCUUCUUACUUUUGUACGGGACCAAAAGUUGGUGAUAUAAAUUUGGUUCCGGAGGCAGAAAAAACUGGUUUAAUGACUGAAAUUCGUAAUAUAGUUUGUAGGCUAGUUCUAAACUCUGAUAGCUUGAUAGAGGAAGUCGAUAAUAACUCGUGUGAGCAGUCUAAUUCCAUUAUUAACAAACAUAUCGGAGACAAGCGAAUUAAUUUUACUCAAGGUAAUAAUUAUCAAACACGAGUACAAGCUGUUAUUGUCGCAUAUUAUUCGAGAAAUUACACGCGAAUAAUACAUAAGAAAAUUAUGCUUAAAAGCCCUGGAAAAUUGGCUAAACUGCAUUCGAAUAAUAUUGACCGUAUACGAAAUAAUACAACAAUAAGACGACGAAAAUUUUUUACUGUUUAAAACCCAAAAGAAAAUAUAAACUGCCGGACAAAGACUAUGACUUAGCAGAGUCUUUGGAUGAUGCUCAAAGUCUCAGCCCAGAAGAUUUUGCCGAAAAAAAAAAGGCAGGGGUGUUAUUAUUGGUACCUAUACGCGGAUAUACAGCGUAUUCACAUCAGCAGGUUAUUAGCAGUUAGCAAUUAUUAUUACAUCUAGUGCGUUCAUCAUUUUAAAUUGACGUGAACAUUUUCCAAUAUAAUUUCCUUGUAGAAUUUUUUCAUGACAGGCCCAUCCUAUAUUAUGAUAUCCAAGGUAUCAUUACACGUUUCGGCUAAGUGACAUUAUCAUGUAUUGAAAUUAUACUUUAAGAGGAUCUCAAGUUUUUCUAAAAACAUCCUAAUUAAAUCGGGUGUUAAAUUAACAUUAAAUUAACAUUUAAGUGCGAGGCACGUAAUAAUAUGCUGUAUCGGGCGCCGCGAGAGAUUUGGUGAAGGGAGCCGCGUUGGAGAAACCGGAGAAACCAAUGUAGUGCGUUAAUAUCUAAUUAAGUGUACGAAUGAUAAUGUCAUUGAUAGUUCAGGAGCCGUGGGAUGAAUCAGUUUGAUGAAUACCUCGGCCAUAAUUUACAAUAUAAGUUGUGUUUUCAAACGGAAACUGUGUACUAUAGUAAGUUAAUAGUUAAGCCACCAUAGCUUUUGAGAACCUGUUUCAGUUAAAAAUCAGUUCAACAAUCCGACCCAAUCAAUCACAGUCUUAGAACGAACAGAAUAAUAGUCAUUAUUUUAAAUUGAAUGUUAUAUGUUGUACACGUCAAACCAUGUAGGCCAACCACUUGCGUUUACUUAUUACGUUUUUAGUUCAUUUUAUUUCAAGUAUAAUAACAUAGAAGCAUCUGAGUCUUAAGUUUUUGUGCAUUUAUAAUUUUCUGAAAUCGCUGAUUAUUUAAUCAUAACUUUCAGGCAUCAAGGUUCUAAUCGUUGUAAUCGUUGUCGUCAUGUAUCUCGUGGGCAGCAAAAUUGAAUAAUUAUGCUUCGUUUCAAAAACACACAAUUCGAUGACUUGAUGACAAAUUAAGUUAUCAAUUAUUAUGAAUUUAUUAUGAAUAAGUAUUAAAUCAUUAUUUUGUAU
rnacentral:lncRNA from 1 species